rnacentral:sRNA from 1 species
ACGUCUUGAUCGUGAUCUAAUUCCUUUUGCUCCAUCGGGAAAACGCAUCGCAAAGCCAAUAGUCACACACUGUUCUGGAUUUAUACUUAGCCCAGAUUUGGACAGCUUCUGUAGUUACUUACCCAGAAAGAAACACUCAUAACUUCUUGAAUAUAAUCUUGAUUCUAUCUCUGUCAGCGGCUAUGGAUUCUUGACAUUAUGAUUAUUGCAAUGACACCACAUGCCACACUUGAUUCUCUCUGAUUCAACGGGAAAUUAAUCCUGAAAACCUCUACCUGAAACUACAAUGUUUCUCAGAUACUUUAGAAAAAACUGCGCUCUGAAAACUGUGACUAUUCACCAAUUUUAAACGCGAUUUCCCGAUUGAUCUUACAUCUGAUUUUGGAUCGAAAAACUGUUCUGAAAACUUGGGAACGAGAUCUAUUCAGAACCGUUAAGAACUCGCCCAAACUCCUUCGGACGUGACGGGAAACGGAUCACCAAUUCCACCACUUGAAUUGUUUCCUUCUUUCACAUAUUCACACAAAAACUCAAAAGCUAACUUGAUAUAUCUAAUCAAGCCGUUGUUUAAUGGUGAUGAUUCGUGACAUUCGCUUUCACUCCACCCUUGUACGUGAUCAAAAACAAAACCAUACGCUCCAACAACUCCGAUCUCAACGUCAAUGGUGAUGGUGGCUUGGGAUCAAGUUGAUUUGAUGUUCUUAGGUAAGUAAUGAGUUGCUAGAGAUGAUGACGUGAGAAGGCUGCGGGAAGAUGACGAUAUAAGCAUAUAUACAUACACAUGUAACGAAACCUUAUUAUUUUGUGACUUGCUUCACUUGGGCUUCAAUGGGCUCCAUGGACGUUUGUUUUUAACAAAACAAAUAGGGUGGGUUCAAGGGAUUGGGUUUGGGGUGUUACAAAGUACCUCGUAUUUUUCCUUCUGCCUCAGGUUGUCUCACGAUACCUUCGACAGCUUGACCCGCAGUUGUACCUUGACUGACUCCAGGUUCAAUAGAAGCAAGCCCAACAGCCAACCC